rnacentral:rRNA from 1 species
CCUACGGGUGGCUGCAGUGAGGAAUAUUUGUCAAUGGGCGCGAGCCUGAACCAGCCAAGUAGCGUGAAGGAUGACUGCCCUACGGGUUGUAAACUUCUUUUAUAAAGGAAUAAAGUGAGGCACGUUUGCCUUUUUGUAUGUACUUUAUGAAUAAGGCUCGGCUAACUCCGUGCCAGCAGCCGCGGUAAUACGGAGGAUCCGAGCGUUAUCCGGAUUUAUGGGGUUUAAAGGGAGCGUAGAUGGGUUGUUAAGUCAGUUGUGAACGUUUGCGUUUCAACCGUAAAAUUGCAAUUGAUACUGGUAGCCUUGAGUACAGUUGAGGUAGGCGGAAUUCGUGGUGUAGCGGUGAAAUGCGUAGAUAUCACGAAGAACUCCGAUUGCGAAGGCAGCUUACUAAACUGCCACUGACAUUGAUGCUCGAAAGUGUGGGUAUCAAACAGGAUUAGAUACCCCUGUAGUC